AAGGAGUGAGAUACUGUUGCUAUCCAGCAGGGGGCAAUAUUCGUUAAGUAAUGAGUAAGUUUUGAUUGCGGAGCAGGACCAGAAGAUAUGAGAGUGAUCCACCCUUGAUAGCCCACAUUCUCUCCAAGAAGGGUGUAGUGAGCCAGUUGGUUUUGAUUUCAGUUUAGGUGUUAUGAAGAAAUAACAUUCUUCCAACAGAAUUCUCUCCAUGACCUUGAGUUGGUGGAGCUUUGUUGAGUCUCUGUUCAACCGUGUUUCAUCAGUUAUUUCAAUGUUAAGUUCCUCCUCCCAUUGCUUUUUAAUAUAGUUUGUAGAAUGUUUAUUUGGUGAUUGAAUACCCAAGUAGAGAUUUGUAAAUGUCUUUUUUUACUCCCCAAGUUGUAUGUGUUAGUGAAUACUUGGAUUCAUUUGAGGUGCUCGAGGGUCAGUCACUUUUACCUCCCUUAAGAAAUAGUGUUGGACUUGUAGGCAUCUGUAAAAAUCUUGUUUAUCCAAGCCAUGUUCUUUACUUAGGUCCUGGAAGUUAUCUUGGUCCCCAUUCUUUAUAAUUGUACUGAAUGAUGUGAUGCCUUUCUGCGUCCAUUGUUUAAAUCUGCUGUCCUGAGUUGCCGGGAUGAAGCUGAGGUCGUAUGCGGGCCAACUCAGCAGUUUGAUCUCUCUGUCUAAAUUAUUUUGCUUAACUACCCUAAAUCAUGUCUUCAGAGAGAAAUUUAUCCACUGAUUUUGUCUAUUGUAUAUUUCUAUUACCAUGUCCUUAUUACCCAUACAGUCAGUUUUGGGAAUCUCCGUCAAAGUAUUUUCAAUGUCUUUCCAUUUGGAUUCGUAUUAUGAAUUGCACAAACACACCAGAGGUCUCAAUUGGGCUGACACACGAUACUCUUUUAGGUUUGGUAAGGCCAUACCUCCACAGUUGUUUGGUAAUUGUAAUGUUGUAUAUCUAAUUAUUGGUCUCUUACUGUUCCAGAUAAACCUUGAUAUCUGUUUAUCCCAUUCCCUCAACUGUUUAGGUGGGAUUUGUAUGGGCAGUGAUUGGAACAAAUACAGUAACCUUGGCAGGAUGUUCAUUUUGAUUGUUUCAAUUCUACUACGAAGAUCUAAGGGAAGUGAAUUCCACCUAUAGGUCAUCAUAUAUUUUCUUGUUGAUGUGAUUGUAAUUCAUGCAAUACAUUUUGGGUGUACCUUUGGUAGAUAUGCUCCAAUAUAUUUAAUGGUUAAAGAGGUCCAGUGGAAGUUAUACCUGCUCUUCCUGUGGGGUAUAAUUAUAUACUACGUUUUGGGUCUUGUGUAUGUAAAGCACAUACCCUGAAUAUGUUCCAAAUGUUUGUAAAACAUCCAUCAGUCUAGGUACACUUGAGCCUGGGUCUUUAAGGAAUAACAGAACGUCAUCAGCAUACAUGCAUAUCUUAUGUUUACUGCCUCUUAUUGUUAUUCCCUCUAAGGUUGGGUCCUGUCUUAUUGCCUGUGCUAAUGGUUCCAGGUACAAGGAGAAGAGCGUGGGUGAUAGAUUACAGCCUUGUCUUGCCCCUCGCUCUAAUUUGAUCGUUCGUGUCAAAUGUCCAUUUAUCUUUAUUCUAGUUGUCGGACAUGAAUACAGUGUUUUGAUGCACUGUAUCACUUCUUUGUUGAAACCAAAUCUUCCUUGGAAUAGGUCAUCCCAUCCCACUGAAUCAAAUGCCUUUUCUGCAUCUAGGCUGAUUAAUAAUGCACUUGUCUUAUUCUGAGUAAUGUGGUCCAUGACAUGUAGUGUUCUCCUUAUAUUGUCCUGUAUCUGCCUAUUUUGUAUGAAACCAGUUUGAUCUCCGUCAAUAAAUUCUGGGAGUAUGUUCUCUGUU